GAAAUGCGAUAAGUAAUGUGAAUUGCAGAAUUCAGUGAAUCAUCGAAUCUUUGAACGCACAUUGCGCCCGCCAGUAUUCUGGCGGGCAUGCCUGUCCGAGCGUCAUUUCAACCAUCAAGCCCUCGGGCUUGUGUUGGGGACCUGCGGCUGCCCGCAGGCCCUGAAAACCAGUGGCGGGCUCGCUGUCACACCGAGCGUAGUAGCAAUCACCUCGCUCAGGGCGUGCUGCGGGUUCCGGCCGUUAAACAGCCUUACAAAACCCAAGGUUGACCUCGGAUCAGGUAGGAAGACCCGCUGAACUUAAGC
rnacentral:misc_RNA from 1 species